rnacentral:lncRNA from 1 species
CUGAAUUCACUAUACGGUUAAGAGUAACUUGCUUAGACUGCUGAAUAUCCUUCACUUUAGCGAGCUGUAGGACAAACUACAUUCAGAAGGAGAAAGGAAACUUUGAAUAGAAGGAUCAGUGCCUGUAGCAGUCCUGGAGUUAGGUUAUGAUGGUCGUGAUGAGCUCUACUAGAAAGAAAAUCUCUUCUAUUCAUAGAUGAAGUCCUAUCUAAGGGCCUUCGUUUCCCUUGAAUUCCGUUCCCUAGUUCAAUCCGGAACUCCAAAUAUGUAAGUAGCGGCCAAGCGGCUCUGUCCUUUUCAAAGAGGUUAUCCUUCUCUCUCCCCGCUUCCU